UAUUUUUAAUGUAUUUUUGGCUGUCCUGGGUCUUUGUUGCUGCUUGGGCUUUUCUCUAGCUGUGGUGAGCAGGGGUUACUCUCUAGCGGCAGUAUGCAGGCUUCUCAUUGCAGUGUCUUCUCUUGUGGGGGAGCAGGGCUUUAUGGCCUGGAGGCUCAGUAGCUGUUGCUCCUGGGCUCUAGAGCAGAGGCUCAGUAGCGGUGGCUCGCAGGCUUAGUUGCUCCACGGCGUGUGGGAUCUUCCCGGAUCAGGGGUCGAACCUGCCGUGUCUCCUGCAUUGGCAGGUGGACUCUUUACCACUGAGCCACCAGGGAAGCCCCUGAUUAUAUUAAAAACCCUGAGUGCACACGAAUACUUACAAUUCCAAAUCAGAAUUCCCCAGAAUUCAUUCUAGCCUUUUUUUUUCUUUCCACACUUACAGUACCCUUAUUUGGUUUUCAUUAUCUUCUAUAUAUUGUCUCUUACUUGCUUAUCUCUUACUUUCUUUUGGAACCAAUUUCUCAAUCCUGCCCACUGUCUCCCUGGCAUAAACCUUACAGGCCCACUGGCGCUGGUUACCUGAAAUGAAGAAGAGAAGCCAAUAAAUUAAAGAAACCAACCAAUGUUUUUUAAGGAAAAGAAAAAUAGACAGAGAAGAGGAAGAGGAAUGGAAAACAGCUUUAGCUAUCAUUAUUAACAAAUUAACUCCGAAUUUGUAUCAGUAUAACUCAGUAAGAGUUUACUUCUUGUGUCUGUAAAGCUUAAUGCUGAUUGAAUGGUUCUCCAGGAAGUUCUCUUCCAAGUGGUGACUCAGGGAUCAAAGGUGCUUGAAUCUUAUGGCUCUGCCAUCUCAACACAUGACAGCUGCUGGUUUGGCCAAAGGACAGAGUUACAACAAGGAAAAGGCACACCCUCUCUCAGCUGCCUCAGAAUGAAAGGAAAACAUCACUUCUGCUCAUGUUCCUUGAUGGAGAAAUAAUCUCAUGACAUCACCCAGAUGUACAGGAUUGAGAAAGGUUUUGCUUGUAAAUCAAGAUGCGGCAGUAGAUAUAGUCAUGGAAAAACAAGAAAACAGAGAGAGAGCGAACAGGAGGCUGAUUGUACCUGGAGACGGCCUAUCUCCUGUCUUAGGGAAUGCAAACAGGAGGCUAGUUGUACAUGUCUGACCUGAAGCCCAUCUUUUUUCUCGCCCCAAGAAAUGUAAACAGGAGGCCAGCAGUAAAUGCCUAGCCUGAAGCCCAUAUACCUCCUGCUUCAGAAUAAGUUAAGGAGGUUGGGGUUAUUCGGAUUUAAGAGUUGCAAGAAGGGGCUCUGUGGAUCCAGAACCCACACCUGUGAGAAGGGGCUUGCCCGGCUGCUGCUGGUACCUCCCACGGUGACUCAGGGAGGCCAAUUCUAGAAAUGCUAGAAGGAGCUGUGGACAGGAGCUACCUGGUGCUGCUGCCGGAGCAGGACAUGGCAGCCCACUCCAGUAUGCUUGCCUGGAAAACCCUAUGGACCCAUAGAAAGCUGGCGGCUUACAGCCCCUGGAUGUAAUCGCAGAGUCGGACAAAACUGAGCAGGCACGCGCGCUGUUGGAGUGACGGGAGUCAAGUUGUGAAGGAUUCUAAUAGGAGCAGCAGUGAAGUCCCUCCUCUUGCUUCGAGCAUCCCCUGUUAGUGGAACCUAAAAUAAUGUUUUGUUUGUCUCAAUCCUAGCCGUAGAGUUAUAGAGGAGUGGGUUUGGAGCCAAGAGACAGUCAAUUCUAUUAAUUGCUGUUAAUUCUAUUAACAGCAAUUAUAGAAGCUCUGUUUGAAAGCAAUCAACUAUAAGGACUUCCUGGUGGCCCAGUGGUUAAGAUUUUGCUUCCAAUGCAGCGGGUGUGGGUUCGAUCCCUGGUCAGGGAGCUAAGAUGAAUCCCACAUGUCUUGUAGCCAAAAAACCAAAACAUAAAACAGAAGGAAUAUUAUAAAAAAAUUCAAUAAAGACUUUAUAAAUGGCCCACAUCAAAAAAAAAAAAAUCUUCAAAAAAAGAGAAAGCAGUCUACUAUACUGAUAAGUACAAACUCUUAAAAUACUAUAGUCAGAACGUUUAAAGGCCCAUGUGAUUGAUUUGUUGCAUAUAUAAAUUCAGUUCUUUAUUGUUAAAGUUUAUGCAGUUAUUUCAAAAAAUAAUGUUAAAAUAUAGAGCUGUCUUAUUGUGGAGAUACAUAUAAAUAAGCUAGCUGAAUAACUCAGAUUACAAAUUUGAAGCAGAUUACAAAUUUGAAGAAUUCUAAUUCAGUCUCUGGUUUGAGAAAUCAUUACAGUUAGUAAAUGUGGUUUGAUUUUUUCUUGACAGAAACCUAAUAAAUGUGUCAGUCUGCUUCUUAAGGCACUGAAAGAUCAGAAUAUGAAAAUUAAGAGGUAGGCAGGAAACUGUUAUAUACAAAUCAAUUGACAGCCAAAAGGAGGGACAAAUAGUAGAGAAUAAGGGGAAAAACAAGAAUAAAACCGCCACCAACUAAAAAUAUACAGCUGGCUCCAGCCCUGUGUAAAAUCAAAGAACUUUAUCAAAGAACUUUACAUGGUACCUGGUUACAUAUAUCUUUAUUACACACACACACACCACAAAAGGGGGUGUAGAGAAAAGCGAGAGAGUGAGACUCCCUUAGCUAUCAAGGCAUAUUGUCCUGACAGUGUCCCUCUAUCAAAAAUCACAAAUGCAUGUACCCUUUGGUUCAGUCA